rnacentral:lncRNA from 1 species
UCGUCAAUCCCAAAUGAGCUGGUCACUCUUUAUGGGCCGGUCGACGGAGAGUUGCAAGACGUGAUAAAUUUCUGAAGCGAAAAACCGACGAGAGACCUGUACAAUUUCCACGGCAUCGUCGUCCACUUGGCCGUGGACAGCCGAUCGCCGUCCGAGCAACGUUUCAAAGGGGGGCAGGGGGGAGCAGGGAGGGAGGGAAGGCAAGGCAAGGCAGGGCAGGGGAAGGGACGAGGGUGGUGCAGAAAGAAGGAGAGCUCCAGGCUUGCCGCCGCCGCCGCCGCCGCCUCCUUUGAACACCAAAAUUUGGAGAUUUCCCCAGAGGGGAGGGAAGGUAACCGCUGCUACUGCCUCUGGGGAAGACCAUCAGGCGGCCCUGAGUUGACCAGCCUGGUGAUGAAUGGCGAGAGGGCCCCCAGGAGGGCCUUGGGGCACUCCUCGUGGGGGAGGUGGCCGCACCCGGAGAUCGCCACCAGCCUC